rnacentral:rRNA from 1 species
GUGAGACAGGUGCUGCAUGGCUGUCGUCAGCUCGUGUUGUGAAAUGUUGGGUUAAGUCCCGCAACGAGCGCAACCCUUAUCCUUUGUUGCCAGCGGUUAGGCCGGGAACUCAAAGGAGACUGCCAGUGAUAAACUGGAGGAAGGUGGGGAUGACGUCAAGUCAUCAUGGCCCUUACGACCAGGGCUACACACGUGCUACAAUGGCGCAUACAAAGAGAAGCGACCUCGCGAGAGCAAGCGGACCUCAUAAAGUGCGUCGUAGUCCGGAUUGGAGUCUGCAACUCGACUCCAUGAAGUCGGAAUCGCUAGUAAUCGUGGAUCAGAAUGCCACGGUGAAUACGUUCCCGGGCCUUGUACACACCGCCCGUCACACCAUGGGAGUGGGUUGCAAAAGAAGUAGGUAGCUUAACCUUCGGGAGGGCGCUUACCACUUUGUGAUUCAUGACUGGGGUGAAGUCGUAACAAGGUAACCGUAGGGGAACCUGC